GACGAACGCUGGCGGCGUGCUUAACACAUGCAAGUCGAACGGAAAGGCCCUGCUUUUGUGGGGUGCUCGAGUGGCGAACGGGUGAGUAACACGUGAGUAACCUGCCCUUGACUUUGGGAUAACUUCAGGAAACUGGGGCUAAUACCGGAUAGGAGCUCCUGCUGCAUGGUGGGGGUUGGAAAGUUUCGGCGGUUGGGGAUGGACUCGCGGCUUAUCAGCUUGUUGGAGGGGUAGUGGCUUACCAAGGCUUUGACGGGUAGCCGGCCUGAGAGGGUGACCGGCCACAUUGGGACUGAGAUACGGCCCAGACUCCUACGGGGGGCAGCAGUGGGGAAUAUUGCACAAUGGGCGGAAGCCUGAUGCAGCAACGCCGCGUGCGGGAUGACGGCCUUCGGGUUGUAAACCGCUUUCGCCUGUGACGAAGCGUGAGUGACGGUAAUGGGUAAAGAAGCACCGGCUAACUACGUG
rnacentral:rRNA from 1 species